UUUUUUUUUUUUUUUUUUUUUUUUUUUUUUUUUCCA
rnacentral:ribozyme from 1 species